GCAUGGGUUUGGAUUUAUGGCAGGUUGGCCCCCUGGGCCUCUCAUAGCAUCCUAUGACAGAGCUAACCAGCCCUAAACCAUUGCCUGGCCUCUGUCUGUAGGCUGCAGGCACUGAAGUGGGUUGCACAGUG
ensembl:snoRNA